GAUGAACGCUGGCGGCGUGCCUAAUACAUGCAAGUCGAGCGAAUGGAUUAAGAGCUUGCACUUAUGAAGUUAGCGGCGGACGGGUGAGUAACACGUGGGUAACCUGCCCAUAAGACUGGGAUAACUCCGGGAAACCGGGGCUAAUACCGGAUAACAUUUUGAACCGCAUGGUUCGAAAUUGAAAGGCGGCUUCGGCUGUCACUUAUGGAUGGACCCGCGUCGCAUUAGCUAGUUGGUGAGGUAACGGCUCACCAAGGCAACGAUGCGUAGCCGACGUGGGUGGGGGAGAGGCCACACUGGGACUGAGACACGGCCCAGACUCCUACGGGAGGCAGCAGUAGGGAAUCUUCCGCAAUGGACGAAAGUCUGACGGAGCAACGCCGCGUGAGUGAUGAAGGCUUUCGGGUCGUAAAACUCUGUUGUUAGGGAAGAACAAGUGCUAGUUGAAUAAGCUGGCACCUUGACGGUACCUAACCAGAAAGCCACGGCUAACUACGUGCCAGCCGCCGCCGUAA
rnacentral:rRNA from 1 species